AUUGAACGCUGGCGGCAGGCUUAACACAUGCAAGUCGAGCGGAGCGAGGGUGCUUGCACCUUAGCUUAGCGGCGGACGGGUGAGUAAUGCUUAGGAAUCUGCCUAUUAGUGGGGGACAACAUUCCGAAAGGAAUGCUAAUACCGCAUACGCCCUACGGGGGAAAGCAGGGGAUCUUCGGACCUUGCGCUAAUAGAUGAGCCUAGGUCGGAUUAGCUAGUUGGUGGGGUAAAGGCCUACCAAGGCGACGAUCUGUAGCGGGUCUGAGAGGAUGCUCCGCCACACUGGGACUGAGACACGGCCCAGACUCCUACGGGAGGCAGCAGUGGGGAGUAUUGGACAAUGGGCGGAAGCCUGAUCCAGCCAUGCCGCGUGUGUGAAGAAGGCCUUUUGGUUGUAAAGCACUUUAAGCGAGGAGGAGGCUACUUAGAUUAAUACUCUGGGAUAGUGGACGUUACUCGCAGAAUAAGCACCGGCUAACUCUGUGCCAGCCGCCGCCGUAACAC
rnacentral:rRNA from 1 species